AACGAACGCUGGCGGCGUGGAUAAGACAUGCAAGUCGAACGGGAUUAUUUUUGUAGCAAUACAGAAAUAAUUCAGUGGCGAACGGGUGCGUAACACGUGGGCAAUCUGCCGAAAAGUGGGGGAUAGCUCGCCGAAAGGCGAAUUAAUACCGUAUGUGGUGAGGGACGACAUCUUCCUGAAUCCAAAGCCGGGGCAACCUGGCGCUUUUUUGAGGAGCCCGCGGCCUAUCAGCAGUUGGCGGGGUAACGGCCCACCAAGGCUAUGACGGGUAGCUGGUCUGAGAGGACGACCAGUCACACUGGAACUGAGACACGGUCCAGACACCUACGGGUGGCAGCAGUCGAGAAUUUUUUCUCAAUGGGGGAAACCCUGAAGGAGCGACGCCGCGUGGAGGAUGAAGGCUUUCGGGUUGUAAACUCCUGUCAUUUUGAGAACAAGUGCCAACAAGUAACUACUGUUGGCUUGAUAGUAUCAGAAGAGGAAGGGAC
rnacentral:rRNA from 1 species